rnacentral:rRNA from 1 species
UACGGGGGGGGCAAGCGUUGUUCGGAAUUACUGGGCGUAAAGGGCUCGUAGGCGGCCAACUAAGUCAGACGUGAAAUCCCUCGGCUUAACCGGGGAACUGCGUCUGAUACUGGAUGGCUUGAGAUUGGGAGAGGGAUGCGGAAUUCCAGGUGUAGCGGUGAAAUGCGUAGAUAUCUGGAGGAACACCGGUGGCGAAGGCGACAUCCUGGACCGGUAUUGACGCUGAGGCGCGAAAGCCAGGGGAGCAAACGGG